rnacentral:rRNA from 1 species
AGAGUUUGAUCCUGGCUCAGGACGAACGCUGGCGGGUGCUUAACACAUGCAAGUCGAACGAUGAAGCCCAGCUUGCUGGGUGGAUUAGUGGCGAACGGGUGAGUAAUACGUGAGUAACCUGCCUUUAACUCUGGGAUAAGCCUUGGAAACGGGGUCUAAUACCGGAUACGACCAACCCUCGCAUGGGGUGUUGGUGGAAAGGGAUUUUGUACUGGUUUUAGAUGGGCUCACGGCCUAUCAGCUUGUUGGUGAGGUAACGGCUCACCAAGGCGACGACGGGUAGCCGGCCUGAGAGGGUGACCGGCCACACUGGGACUGAGACACGGCCCAGACUCCUACGGGAGGCAGCAGUGGGGAAUAUUGCACAAUGGGCGCAAGCCUGAUGCAGCGACGCCGCGUGAGGGAUGACGGCCUUCGGGUUGUAAACCUCUUUCAGCAGGGGAGAAGCGAAAGUGACGGUACCUGCAGAAGAAGCGCCGGCUAACUACGUGCCAGCAGCCGCGGUAAUACGUAGGGCGCGAGCGUUGUCCGGAAUUAUUGGGCGUAAAGAGCUUGUAGGCGGUUUGUCGCGUCUGCUGUGAAAGCCCGGGGCUUAACCCCGGGUUUGCAGUGGGUACGGGCAGACUAGAGUGCAGUAGGGGAGACUGGAAUUCCUGGUGUAGCGGUGAAAUGCGCAGAUAUCAGGAGGAACACCAAUGGCGAAGGCAGGUCUCUGGGCUGUAACUGACGCUGAGAAGCGAAAGCAUGGGGAGCGAACAGGAUUAGAUACCCUGGUAGUCCAUGCCGUAAACGUUGGGCACUAGGUGUGGGGAACAUUCCACGUUUUCCGCGCCGUAGCUAACGCAUUAAGUG